rnacentral:rRNA from 1 species
UACGAAGGGGGGCUAGCGUUGCUCGGAAUCACUGGGCGUAAAGCGCACGUAGGCGGCUUCUUAAGUCAGGGGUGAAAUCCUGGAGCUCAACUCCAGAACUGCCUUUGAUACUGAGGAGCUUGAGUCCGGGAGAAGUGAGUGGAACUGCGAGUGUAGAGGUGAAAUUCGUAGAUAUUCGCAAGAACACCAGUGGCGAAGGCGGCUCACUGGCCCGGUACUGACGCUGAGGUGCGAAAGCGUGGGGAGCAAACAGG